UGUAAGCGUAUACCAAAGUUGUUGCAGUUAAAACGCUCGUAGUCGGAAUUUGGCAGUUCCGGAUGUUUGCACGUCGUGUGCGCACUUCGCGGGGAUUGCUUUUGUGGUCUUGCGUAGGAUGAGGCACUUUUAUUAGUGAACGUCCUCACGCAACCACUUUUUACUGUGAGAAAAUCAGAGUGCUCAAAGCAGGCAUUUGCCGUGAAUGUAUUAGCAUGGAAUAAUAGAAUAGGACUUGGUUCUAUUUUGUUGGUUUGUUGGGACUGAGUAAUGAUUAAGAGGGACAGUUGGGGGCAUUUGUAUUUCGGUGCUAGAGGUGAAAUUCUUAGAUUACCGAAAGACAAACUGCUGCGAAAGCGUCUGCCAAGGAUGUUUUCAUUGA
rnacentral:rRNA from 1 species